rnacentral:lncRNA from 1 species
UUCUAUCCUUCCCAGAAUUGGUAUCAAAACUUCCACAAAUUGGUGUUCAGUGAUUAUAUAGGGGUUCCAUUCCUGCUAUUCUUGGACAAUUUUCCAGGUACGGUUUUCCAUCUCUGUUCUCUUAGUAGUAUUCCUUCUAUACAGUGAAAAUAAAUUUUAGUUUGGAUCUUACAUUUUCUUUUUAUUGACGACAGCCAUGGGUUGCGGACUGGGAUUUUUGAAGCAAGCAAGCUUGUGUUGAUUAAUUUUGGGGUGAUUUAGGUUUUGGUCACCACUUUUUAGUAUAAAUUAGGUUUUGGAGCCGGUUUUUUUCUUUAUUAUGGUUUAGAGCUCAUUUUCGAACCAACAACUAAAAAAACCCGGUUGAACCGAAAAUAUUUUCAAAAUACCUAAUUUUACCCCUGAAACUCACGUGAUCUGCACGUGAUCACUAACCCCAAUAUAGUUUUGAUCAGGGGUAUUUUGGCCAUUAUAAACAAUUACUUGGGUCAAUUGUCGGUUCAGCUCUAAACCCUAAUAAAGAAAAAAAACCGGCUCCAAAACCUAAUUUAUACUAAAAAGUGGUGACCAAAACCUAAAUCACCCUUAAUUUUGCUCCUACACUCAGCUAUUUAGGUGGCAUCUCAUUUUUGUUAUAUGUUUUUUUGAUCAAUUGUUUUCUAUGCAGUGUCUUUGCUUGAAGUUGUUUGUGUCUUGUUUGGCUCUGUUUAAAUGUCCUUAAUACGUUUUUGCAUCUCUUUCUGCUCUUUGCUAUAUUGUGAGUCUGUAAUUUCUUUGGAUGUAAGUCCCCCCCCCCCCCCCUCUUUAGGUAUAGGCUGUUUUAGAGCCGUGCUAAUCAGCUUCAGUUUUAUUCCUGCUCCGUUUGUUGAUUAAAAAUACUUAAAUUAGCUUGAACAAGCUAAAGCUUAGCCAAGUAGCUUGAUUCUUUUAGCUGUUCUGGUCCGACUUGUUAUUUAUUCAUAAACCCUGAUAGAACUAGCUUGAGUGAGCUAGAAAUCAGUUAAAUUCUGAGCCGAGCUUGAGUGUGGUAGUACCUGUUAUAUAGUGUGUUUAAAACUCUCUAAACAGGUGAUUGUUUUAUUCUAGUGAGACCAAGUUCAUAUCUUUCUGUUCCGAUAAGAGGUCUUUUAUGCAAAUUUACUGAGAACUAGUCUGGUUGUUUCUCCUUGUUUAAUUUGGUGAGUAGAAACUCAAUGAAAAAAAGCGCAUUCAAAAGCUUUAAUGUUAGUGCAUGCUGAAAACAACGUGAGAUUAUUAUGUAUGUUGCUCAUCUUUGGUUAUUUCGACUUGGACUACUAUAAUUGGGAUAUUUUUUUCCUGUCUAAAAAGACAGUGCAGGCAAUUCUGAUACAUAUUCACUAAUGCAAUUAUCAAUUUAGCAUUGACAUGCAGUUUGUGAUAUGUCAUUCUUCUUCAUUUAGAUUUUGAUAUGCAACAUGUUCAUUUGGACUUUAAGAUUUGAAAACAGAAAUAUGUAUCCGAGUUGCUUGUUUAACUUUGUGAGCAUUCAGAAUAACAACUUUAAUUUAGUGUUGACAGUAUGGUUUCAUUCUUUUAUAUUCAUUGUUGAUAUAUUCUUCAGCUAACAAAUUUCAGCAUGCAUCUUUCUCAGGAGUUUCUAUGUAAUAUGUUUUGGACCGGAGUUUGCUACUUUUUGGGAACUCUUAUUUUUUUUAUAGCAAAAUAAAUUUAAAAGUAGAUUUAUUAUGCAGGUUACAAGAUUGGUGAAACUGAGAACAAGUAAAGCAACACUAGCAAUUGGCCGGUGAUGGAAAAAAAAUUUUAGCAUGCUCAAAAAGGCGGACAUGGGAUCAGUGGCGUUAAAGUAAAGCAUGUAUUAUCUUUUAUCUUAAAUAGCUGAAGGCAACAAAAAUGUUCAUGCAUUCUUAUAAUUAUUGCUAUUAGUGCUUUUAGUCAGUAACUGCGCAUAUACAGGGUGCAAUUAUUUCUCUGCAGCAUCGGGAGGUCAAGAAGGUGUUGGAGAAUUGGCAGAGGCUUAAUAUAAGGGGGCUAGGAGUAGUAGCAUGGAAAAUUUUACAAGUUGCGGUCAUGUGUUGUAUUUGCAACUAACAAAAGCAAAGAUGAAGAUGAGGACAUUGAGUUGAAUAAAUCCGUUGCUGCUCCUGUAUUACUCAUGGA